GACAGAGGUCUCGAGCGUUAGGCGGAAUCACUGGGCUUAAAGCGUGUGUAGGCGGACUUGUAAGUACCUUGUGAAAUCCCACGGCUCAACCGUGGAACUGCUUGGUAUACUGCUUGUCUUGGGCCAGCUAGGGGUUACCGGAACAAACGGUGGAGCGGUGAAAUGCGUAGAUAUCAGGAGGAACACCGAUGGCGAAGGCAGGUCUCUGGGCCACUACUGACGCUGAGAAGCGAAAGCAUGGGGAGCGAACAGG
rnacentral:rRNA from 1 species